CAGCAGCCGCGGUAAUACGAAGGGGGCUAGCGUUGUUCGGAAUCACUGGGCGUAAAGCGCACGUAGGCGGACUUUUAAGUCAGGGGUGAAAUCCCAAGGCUCAACCUUGGAACUGCCUUUGAUACUGGAAGUCUUGAGUUCGGGAGAGGUGAGUGGAACUGCGAGUGUAGAGGUGAAAUUCGUAGAUAUUCGCAAGAACACCAGUGGCGAAGGCGGCUCACCGGCCCGAUACUGACGCUGAGGUGCGAAAGCGUGGGGAGCAAACAGGAUUAGAUACCCCCGUAGUCCCUGUCUCUUAUAC
rnacentral:rRNA from 1 species